rnacentral:lncRNA from 1 species
CUUAUAAGUAUAGUUAUUGUAAUUGUAACGGUAAAUAAUUAUUAUAAUUAUUAUUAUUAUUAAUUGAAUUAUUGUAUUGUCACGGGUAGGUAACACUUCUCCCUGUCUGUGUGCGUGUUACUCUUUCUUCUGUUGCGCGUUUUUGUUCUCCUCGGACGCACGAAUCGCCACCCGGACUAACGGGAUUUUGUGAGUGAAGACCCAGUAGUGUUCUCUCGUUUCUCUAGCGCCGUGUUUUCGUCUCUGGUGUGUUUUUGACUACUAAUUCGCUCGUCUCGAAGGAGUCGACCGGGAAAGGUUUUUGUAAACCUAACCCCUGGAAGGUGAAGGUUACGGUGACAGGAAAACGACUGUACAUGGAAAGGUGUCAGGAAGCGACACCGACGUCGGAUGGCGAGUUAAGUACCGAGUGCCGACGCAACGCAGGAGGCGAAGUAGCUGCUUGUCGUUUUUGUUUUUCGUCUUUCCGACCGCCUCCUUGGCGCGUGCGUUAGCGCAACACCGCCUCCGGCGGAAUGAGGUAGUAUCCGAAUAGACGACGCAGUGCGGACGAGGAAAAACCGAGUGCCUCAAAGUAAGCCACGAGGAACCUUCUCCCAAUGCCUCCCCCCCUGGUGGUUAGAAUUAAAACAGCGUCAAACAGACAAGCCAAGCGCGAGGUCAUCGACCAUCCGUGGAUUGCCCAAGUGCCUCUACCGGCGGGCGCGUCCGCCACGCAGCCGGCGACGGAAGCGUCGGACGUGGCCCUCCCGACUGUUUUUUUUAUACACACCGCCGUCGAUCGCAUGUCAAGCGAACAUUUUCGUCUCUUCUAUGUCAGCAGCCAUUUUCUAACCACUACAGGGAGGCUCUAAACCGUCGACGUUACAUCCAUUGGGUUUCAGUCCUUGGUCUCAUCACUCUCUUCGGAGAGUCUUCUUUCCUACAUCGCACCCGCCUCGUCCGACUUUCCACGCCCAGGGUAGCGCGGGCGGCCCAUCCGCACGGCUUUCUCACUCGGCCGAUAGCAUUCCUAACAUUCAAAUCGAUCCGCAUGUUCCUAAUGUAGUAUCAUCUGGGUAGCGCGCUUCUGCCGUUCGUUCCUUCACCACGCGACAGUAAACAAGUCUGGUAUACGAUCUCCUUCGACCAUUAUUAUCUUUACGCGCCGACGCGUAACCGUCGCUCUCCCCAUAUCAUGUGCCAACAGUCGAUCGAGGUUUCGCUAACCUAUGCAACCAGCAUUCCCUUCCGGCCCCGGGCCGGAGGCCGUUGCGCAUCCAUUCCCAUCGACACCCAUAUCUGUCAGUCGACGUAAAACUUUCGACCAACUGCGUGUCACGUGACUUUGCUCAGAUACCGAGGGACGGUUCUUUAUAUACUAAUAUAACGACAGUCAAUGUUGUCAUUUUUUAAGAGGGUUUUCCUAUCUGGUUCGUUCUCAUCCAUCGUAUCGAUGUCCUCUGUCAUACUUUCUCGUGUUAGACAUGUUUUAGUGAAAUUGGGGGAAAAAACAAAAAAAAAUACACACAUAUAUAUAUAGAUAUAUAUAUAUAUAUAUAUAUAUAUAUAUUUAAACGGGAGAAUCACACUGUGUAAGACAGAUGUAACA